rnacentral:rRNA from 1 species
AUUGAACGCUGGCGGCAUGCCUUACACAUGCAAGUCGAACGGCAGCACGGGUGCUUGCCCCUGGUGGCGAGCGGCGAACGGGUGAGUAAUACAUCGGAACAUGUCCUGUAGUGGGGGAUAGCCCGGCGAAAGCCGGAUUAAUACCGCAUACGAUCUACGGAUGAAAGCGGGGGACCUUCGGGCCUCGCGCUAUAGGGUUGGCCGAUGGCUGAUUAGCUAGUUGGUGGGGUAAAGGCCUACCAAGGCGACGAUCAGUAGCUGGUCUGAGAGGACGACCAGCCACACUGGGACUGAGACACGGCCCAGACUCCUACGGGAGGCAGCAGUGGGGAAUUUUGGACAAUGGGCGAAAGCCUGAUCCAGCAAUGCCGCGUGUGUGAAGAAGGCCUUCGGGUUGUAAAGCACUUUUGUCCGGAAAGAAAUCCUUGGCCCUAAUACGGUCGGGGGAUGACGGUACCGGAAGAAUAAGCACCGGCUAACUACGUG